UACGUAGGUGGCAAGCGUUGUCCGGAAUUACUGGGCGUAAAGGGCGCGUAGGCGGCCUACUAAGUCAGACGUGAAAUCCCCCGGCUUAACCUGGGAACUGCGUCUGAUACUGGAAGGCUUGAGGAUGGGAGAGGGAUGUAGAAUUCCAGGUGUAGCGGUGAAAUGCGUAGAUAUCUGGAGGAAUACCGGUGGCGAAGGCGGCAUCCUGGACCAUUACUGACGCUGAGGCGCGAAAGCUAGGGGAGCAAACGGG
rnacentral:rRNA from 1 species